GAGCACGUUGUGCAGCGUCAUGGCUCAGCUGACUGAGGACAUACAGCCAUCCUUUGACACCACCUUGAAAUCAAGGGCGGUGUCAGAGAACUGUAACGUGAAGUUCACCUGCGUGGUGUCAGGUUACCCAGCUCCAGAACUGAAAUGGUAUAAAGAUGAUAUGGAACUGGAUCGCUAUUGUGGACUCCCAAAAUAUGAAAUUUGCCGUAAUGGAAAAGCGCACACCCUCCAUAUUUACAAGUGCACAUUGGAUGAUGCCGCCAUAUAUCAGGUUUCAGCCAGCAAUAGUAAAGGUAUUGUCUCCUGCUCUGGAGUUUUGGAAGUCGGCACCAUGAACGAGUUCCAGAUUCACCAGAGGUUCUUCGCCAAGCUGAAGCAGAAAGCAGAGAAGAAGAAGAAAGAUCUGGAGGAUCACACCAAGAAGAGGGAUAAGGAAAACACAGAACGUCCUCAAAGGAAGCGGCACGUCCCGGCAGAGGAAGAUAGACCUUCUGUCCUGGAGCCCGAGGCCGAGGAUCAACUGGGAGCUGCAGCAGAACCUAAUGGUGUUUGCUCUGAAGUCAAGGAAACAGUCACUGUGACAUCCAAAGACCUGGAUGAGAAAUCGCCAUCGGAGGACACCUCGGCCAAAAAAGAAAAUAAAGAUCACGAAUGGAGUAGAUGCUGGGGUGGACAACAGCAGUAGACGCAGCAGCAGAACCAACAUGAUGGGGGUCGGGGGGGGAGAACUCUUACGAUGGAGGAAUGGGUUUGGCACAAUUUCUGGCAGAGACUCUCCAGUCGCAGGCUGCAGAGGAGAAUCAGAGCUCAUCUCGAGGGGAGAAACCCAAAGAGAUGGAUAUCCCUGUUGCAAGUGUCAGUGAAGAGAAAGUGGAGGAGCAAGAGAGGAUGCAAAACAUGGUGGAAGAACAAGACAAAGUCUUGGAAGAAGGGCAAGAGAGAAAGAUGAGGAGAGAAGAAGAAAUGGCUGUAGAAAGCGAGAAAGAGAGGGAAAGUGUUUUGAAGACUUCACACACACAAGUCCCGUACACAAAACAUAGAUCAGAAGUCAAACAUCACAACAAGGCUCAUAAGGAUCAUGACCACCCAAACAUCCAGGCAUCCAUCUCCUCGGUGCUGCACACAGUCAAAGACUUCUUCUUUGGUAAAGGCAAGAAGGACUCUCAUGACCACACCGAGAGCAAGAAGAGAGAGUUUCACCACUCGCAUGCUCCGACGCUGCCGUCGUUUGGGCUGCAGCCAGAACAAAAUGAAGUGUGCGAGCUUCUCACAGAAGACGUUGCGUCCAUGGAAGUGGGUAAACCAAAACAGCUUUCAGAGACUGUGGAUACAGAACAACAGUCACACGAGCCACAUGAACACAAGCAUGAAGACCGAGUUCCACACACCGACCAGCCGCCAGCUCAUAAAUUGCCACUUGGGAGCGUCGACGUGUCCACGGGGCGGAGCGGCGACGCAGCUCAUGCUGCCGAGGAGGCCACGGAGGAGUCUUUGGGUCCAGACAGCGGCAGUCCAGGUGAAGAAGUCACGAUUGAGCUCCACAGGUCCUCCGUAAGAUCAGGGGGGGAGCCGUUCCCAGAUGCCUCCGGACACCUUAAGCUGUGGUGCCAGUUCUUCAACGUGCUCAGUGACUCCACCAUUAAGUGGUACCGAGAUGAGAAGGAAAUACUAGAGGUGAAGAGAAGGUAAAGCCGCCUUCU
ensembl:lncRNA